GCGAAGGCCUCACUAUCGGCGUCCGCUCUCCGGCGCCAUUUCUGUAGAGGGGAACGGCAGUGCGGCCUGUAACCAUGGCGCUGUUCCCAGCCUUUGCUGGCAUUGGUGAGGCUCCCAAUAGCGGCAGCGCCAGGAAAGAAUUAGAUUGGCUGAGCAACCCGAGCUUUUGUGUUGGAGCCGUACCCUCUCUGAGCCAACAGCCUGAGGAGGCCACUGCCCUGGUUUCUGAAGGGUCAUCGCCGACGAGGAGUCCCCUGAAAUCAGAGCCUUCAGAUGAAAGUGACGCUAACAGAAAGCCCAGACAAACGAGCAGGAAAAAAAAGAAAGAGAAGAAGAAGAAGAGGAAGCAUCACCACAAGAAAACCAAGAGAAAACGUGGGCAGGCCAGUAGCAGUGGCUCCGAGCCAGAUAGUGAGCCUGAAAAGGACAAAACUUCCAGAAGCACUGGAGACAGUAGAAGGGAAUCUGAGAAGCCAAGGCAAGAAGGUCAUGCUGCUGAUGAUGUUGGGCGUCGCUUUGUUUGGCUUGAGGACGUGCAGGCUCUGACAGGAGAAACCUUCAGAACAGACAAGAAACCGGAUCCGGCCAACUGGGAGUAUAAGUCUCUCUACCGAGGAGACAUAGCAAGAUACAAGAGGAAAGGAGACUCCUGCCUUGGCAUUAACCCUAAGAAGCAGUGUAUAUCCUGGGAGGGGGCUUCCACAGAAAAGAAGCAUUCGCACAAGCAUGUUGAGCGCUAUUUUACGAAGAAGAGCGUGGGACUGAUGAACAUUGACGGAGUUGCCGUUGGCAGCAAAACCGAACCUCCGUCAUCUGAGCCGCUCUCCUUUAUCCCCGUGAAGGGCCCAGAUGAUGCGCUUCCUCCCGUUACGACCUGGUUGAACCCUCUGGGCAUUUACGAUCAGUCCACCACGCAGUGGUUACAAGGACAGGGUCCUUCAGAGCAAGAAUCAAAGCAGCCAGACUCACAGACGGACAGAGAGAGCGCGCUGCUCAAGGCCAAGGUGGAGGAGUUCAACCGGAGAGUGCGCGAGAGUCCUCGCGACGUGCAGCUGUGGAUGGCCUUUGUUGCUUUUCAGGAUGAGGUCAUGAAAAGUCCCGGCCUGUACGCCCUCGAGGAGGGAGAGCCGGAGAAGCGGAAGAGGUCUCGGAAGCUGGUGCUGGACAGGAAACUGGCCAUCCUGGAGCGGGCCAUCGAGAGCAACCAGAGCUCCGUGGAGCUGCAGCUGGCCAAGCUGGAGCUGUGUGCUGAGUUCUGGGAGCCUUCCACGCUGCUCAGGGAGUGGCAGAAGCUGAUAUUCGUGCACCCCAACAAGACGGCCCUGUGGCAGAAGUACCUUUUAUUUUGCCAAAGCCAGUUCAGCACCUUCACCGUCGCCAAGAUCCACGGUCUCUAUGGCAAGUGCUUGAGCACGCUGUCCGCGGUGCUGGACGGCAGCAUCCUGUCGCACCCUGCGCUGCCCGGCACGGAGGAGGCGGUGUUCGCUCUCUUUCUUCAGCACUGCCACUUCCUGCGGCAGGCUGGCCACUCGGAGAAGGCCGUCGCUCUGUUCCAGGCCAUGGUGGACUUCACCUUCUUCAAACCUGACAGCGUGAAAGACCUGCCUACCAAAGGACAGGUGGAGUUCUUUGAGCCCUUCUGGGACAGCGGGGAGCCCCGGGCUGGGGAGAAGGGCGCCCGAGGCUGGAGAGCGUGGAUGCAGCAGCAGGAGCGAGGCGGCUGGGUGGUCAUCAGUCCAGAUGAUGAUGAUGAUGAUGAGCCAGAAGACGAGGACCAGGAAAUACGAGAUAAGAGUCUGCCCAGGUGGCAGAUCUGGCUUGCCGCUGAGCGGUCCCGAGACCAGAGGCACUGGCGGCCGUGGCGCCCUGAUAAGACCAGGAAGCAAACCGAGGAAGACUGUGAGGACCCAGAGAGACAGGUGCUGUUCGAUGACAUCGCACAGUCUCUGAUCCAGCUCUCCAGCCCGGAUCUUCAAUUCCAGCUGGUCACGGCCUUUCUGCAGUUCCUGGGUGUGCCUUGUGGCUUCAGCACCCCGGCCUCCUGCGUCUACUUGGCCGUGGAUGAGGACAGCAUCUUUGAUAACGGGCUUCAUGAUGAAAAGCCACUGACUUUCCUCAACCUGUCCUUCAAUGGCAUCAGCUGUGUUGGCCGCUCAGACCCCCUGGGCUGCCGUCGCUGGACCCGCGGUCACAGUCGAGAGGGCGAGGAGUUCAUCCGCAACAUCUUUCACCUUGUGAUGCCUCUGUUUUCAGGCCAGGAGCGGUCCCAGCUCUGCUUCUCCUGGCUACGGUACGAGAUGGCGAAGGUCAUUUGGUGUCUGCGCGCUAAAAACAAGAAGAGGUUAAAGUCACAAGGAAAGAACUGCAAGAAACUCGCCAAAAAUCUCCUUAAGGAGCCAGAAAACCGCAACGAUUUCUGCCUCUGGAAGCAGUAUGCACACCUGGAGUGGUUGCUCGGCAACACGGAGGACUCCAGGAAGGUGUUUGACUCGGCGCUCAGCCUGGCGGGCGGUGGGGAACUGGGGGGGUCCGAGCUCUGGGAGCUCGGCCUCCUCUACGCGCAGCUGGAGCUGGAGCUGGAGCUCUCGGCUGAGGUGAGGGGGGCCGCCGUGGUCCGGGCCGUGCACGUACUGACCAGACUGACGGAGAAUGGGCCCUAUGGGCCCUAUUCGGGGCCGGUCUCGGCCGUUCAUGUCCUGAAAGCCCGGAAGGCUUACGAGCACGCGCUGCAGGGCUGCCUGGGGCAGAGCUGCGGCUCCUCUCCAGCUCCUGCCGGCCCCACUCACCGCCUCGUGAGCCUGGCCAAGUGCUUCCUGCUCUUCCAGUAUGUAACUGUAGGCAUCGAGGCCGCCGUGCGGCUCUACGAGCAGGUGUGCGCGGGGCUGCGGGGCUCGGUGUGCCCGGGCGGCACUCUCGAGGCCGUCACGCUGCUGCAUACGGGCCUGCUCCGGUUCCACACCAGGGUCCACGUUUACCCCCUGGCUCCCCUGCGCCAGGCACUCUCAGAGGCGAUACAGCUGUACCCAGACAACCAGCUUCUCUGGAGGGCCUACGUACAGGUUCAGAGCAAGUCCCACGCAGCCAGUAAGACCAGAAGGUUCUUCGAUGCUGUUACCAGGUCCGCCAAAGCCUUGGAGCCUUGGUUGUUCGCGAUUGAAGCUGAGAAAAUGAGGAAGAGGCUGGUGGAGACCGUUCAGAGGGUGGAUGGCAGAGAGGUCCAUGCGACAAUUCCUGAGACCGGCUUGGCUCAUCGGGUCAGAGCCCUGUUUGAAAGCGCGUUGCAGAGUGACCAUGGCCGCCUGUGCCCCUUGCUGUGGAGAAUGUAUUUGAACUUUUUGGUUUCCUUGGGAAACAAAGAAAGGAGCAAAGGCGUGUUCUACAAAGCACUUCAGAAUUGUCCUUGGGCAAAGGCGCUGUACCUGGAUGCCGUGGAGCACUUCCCCGAAGAGAUGCAGGAGGUCCUGGACCUGAUGACGGAGAAGGAGCUCCGGGUGCGCCUGCCCCUGGAGGAGCUGGCGCUUCUGCUGGAGGACUAGAGACCAGGAGGGCCUGCCCCGCCGGAGCUGGGAUGCCUGAGACUGGGGACGCCUGGGCGGAGGGGCAGGUGUGAGGGCUUAGCAGCAUGGACUUCUCCCUGAGAGUACCAGUGAAGGAUGGUGAAUGGAAGACAAAAAGGACCACCGAAGCAGAUGGCCUCUGACCCUCCAGAGAUAGCCUCGGCCAGCUGCUGGGUCCCUUCGGUGGCGAGCGGGAUAACCAAGUCAGGCUCUUCCCCUCCUGAUGGCCUGCCACCCUGUGCUCCAGACCAGCCCUUCACGUCGGCCCCCGGCGGUGCAUGUGCACCGAAGGCAGCCCACAGCUGCAGGUCAGGCGGCCUGCCUUCCAGCUCCAGCCCCGCCACCUGCUCAACUCCCAGGGCUUCCUCCGCCCCGGGCUAGUCACCCGCCUCUCUGAGUUUCCUGCACUGUAAGAUGAUGAGCUGCAACAGUUCCAUGCCUCUGGGCUCAGUUCCUCCGGUUCCUCCACUGUGGGCAGCCCUCAGUGACCCCUUCAAAGAACUGUGCUUCCUCUGCAACUUCCACAGCACUGAAUUGCUAAUUCCUGGACUGUACAACUUACUCAGGCCAGCUAGUUGCAUAAUGAACCACAUACAUAUCUGUAUACGCAUCUAUUCAUCCAAUAUUCUGUUCACUCAGUACAGUGGACCAGAGAGUGAACCCAAUCUGAACCGCACAGAACAGCUUUUAAAUCUGUGGUUUCCCACCAUGGCUCUGAUACCUGGCCACACUCCAGAUGAACAGAUCAGAAUUUUCAGGGAUGGGACCAUCAGUAUUUUUUAAAGCUCCAGGGUGAUUCCAACGUAUAGCCAAGCUUAAGCAUCCCAGUUUAUUUUGUUUUAUAAACUUUUUUAAAAAAGAUUUUAUUUAUUUGACAGACAGUGAACACAAGUAGGCAGAGAGGCAGGCAGAGAGAGGGGGAAGCAGGCUCUCCACUGAGCAGAGGGCCUGAUGCGGGGCUCCCUCCCAGGACCCUGAGAUCAUGACCUGAGCCGAAGACAGAGGCUUUAACCCACUGAGCCACCCAGGCGUCCCUUAUAAACUCUUUUUAAUAGAUUCACAUUACUCUUAUGAAUACUUUAAAGUUUUAUGUUUUACAGCACAUAAAUCUAAUAUAUUUGAGUGCAGAGAGGAAUUCUAAGAAACUGUAAACGCAUUCACACUGAGCAGGCAUUUUUGGAAGGGGAGGGUUUCCCUACUGUGCUUAUUUUUGUUGCAAUUCCUACUGUUGUUUUUAAUACAUUAAAUCUGUUAAGUCUACAAUUUUAAGUCUAAGGUAAUUCAGUUUUUUAGCAUCAACUAUACAGAUAAAAAUACUUUUAUGUAAUAUGUAUAUUUCCAUAUUUACUCAGAAAAUGUACAAAAUGUUUAGAAAACCUGGUUUCAAACUAAGGAGUUGUGGCAUCCUUACUCAAGAAUUAAAUAAUUAUAACAAACUAAUGCUACAGCUCAAGAGAUUAGCUCAGUGCCCUGAAGUGUCAAACCCAGAGCAUACAUACCUGUGCCAGGUGGACCAUACAGAAUGACCCCCUUCGGGGGCUUUAUACCCAUCUCUUCAUAAUACUCAGGAUGAGUGAGAGGAAGCUCCACAGACUCCUAGAGAAAACAAAUACUUGGUAAAAAUGAAAUGUUUUCUCACUGAAAUUACCAGAUCCACGAAUUGGCAUUCGGGAUAUAUCUCACUUUCAACAAUAAGCUAAAAUGUCACUUAGUCUUGUUAGAGACAGUGUGCCUGACUUUUGUCUAGCAGCAGGGACAGAUGGAAGAUGACACCUGUCCUUGCUGAGUUCCCCUUCCUACUGCCUCCAGUUUCCCUCUCACUUUCUCAUAGAAGUCAGCCUGGAGCAACCUUCAGGCUCUUCCAGAGCAAAAGGAACUUAAAGUGAAAAUGCACUGUUUUCAAUUAAACCAUAGACGAGAUUUUCUGGCAAGAUUUUCUGAUUGCCGUUAUACCAAUGGACAUAAUGGCUACUUCCCAGCCAUCUCCGAGGUCGCCGGCUGUGACUGGUGACAGCUCUACACGACCCCCCUGCAGAUGAAGCACCUGCAGAUGAGAUGGCUGGCUCCCAGCCAACCUGAACGACCACUUCCCUUCACCCCACUCACACUACCCCACACAUCACUGGAGGUUUCCAGACAGCCACAGCUGAAGUCAACACAAACGGAACCAUUAGGUAUCCACCCAGAUAACCGUGGCACUUUGCAUGUAAGAAGGAUGAAGCUGCAGCUGCCGCAGGAACAAUCACACAACUUGUUGUUCCUAUUACCUAACUCAGGAUUAACAAAUAAAUUACUCCACAACUGGCAAGCUUUGAGUCACACUGGUUUGAUCACUAAGGAAAACACAAAACAUGCACAAUAACUCUACCCUAAAUGAAGUAGUUAAAUAAAUUGAAAAUCUAGAAACCCAGAGGUGAUUCUUAGACUUACCUUAAUUUCCUGGAUUUGGUUGUCCAACCCCCCAAUAUCAGCAUAGGUUUCCUGGGGCGCCUUUUCUACCUUCAUCACUGUGACCAAGGGAUCUGUGUCAUCCAUAAGCACCCCUAUGACGGCAUGCACCUGAGAGAGAACAUUAAGUUAAUGCAGAACCGUGAGGUUCACAUAAUCCACCCACAGCAAAGCACCGCCAACCACAGAGCAGCACCAAUGGACAGAUCUGAGAGGAAGGAGAAAGCACUCCUAGAGGCUUAGAGACCAUCAACUUGCCUUGUGGUUGAGCAGGACGGAGCAGCCCGGUUCCAGCAGGUCCUUGUCUACAAAGGAAAGAAUGCUGACGUAGUGUUCGGAGCCCACAGAUGUAGACACGAUGGCGUGAUUGUCAUCAAUGAUCUCUUCCAAGGUUCCUACUGACAUUGGGGUCCCUCUCAGGUCAUCCACCUUAGACCUUUCCUCCUAUGUAAGAGUACGCCAUGAAGGAAAAGCAGAUUAGACCUAAAAAGCAGACAAGGCUGAUAGUUUUACUAGAUUUACUAAAUUUUACUACAUUUACAAAGCAGGUGAUGCUUUUAAAAGGCAGCCAGUCUAAAUGGGUCAACUACUUGAAUUUCAUUUAUUCACUGAAUUCUAGUUAGUACCAAAACACUUAAUUUGUAAAACAAAAGUUACAGUAAUUUCUGAAUUACCUCUUGCUUUUCUUCUAAAGGCUUCAUUUGUUCCUGAUUUCUAAUGAAUUCUUCCUCCAUGAGAAGAUAGUCUUUAAUUCUCUCUAACUUCAAUAAUUUUAACCGGCACUGAGUAUGGGGUGUCACUGUAAUUACAAAGAAAAGUUUUAUUCUAUUUGGACCUUGACGUUAGCAAUUAAUUAAGUUCAUUCUU